rnacentral:rRNA from 1 species
ACGGAAGGCAGCAGUGGGGGAUAUUGCACAAUGGGGGAAACCCUGAUGCAGCGACGCCGCGUGAGUGAUGAAGUAUUUCGGUAUGUAAAGCUCUAUCAGCAGGGAAGAAAAUGACGGUACCUGACUAAGAAGCCCCGGCUAACUACGUGCCAGCAGCCGCGGUAAUACGUAGGGGGCAAGCGUUAUCCGGAUUUACUGGGUGUAAAGGGAGCGUAGACGGCUAAGCAAGUCUGAUGUGAAAGGUGCGGGCUCAACCCACAAACUGCAUUGGAAACUGUUUGGCUGGAGUAUCGGAGAGGUAAGCGGAAUUCCUAGUGUAGCGGUGAAAUGCGUAGAUAUUAGGAGGAACACCAGUGGCGAAGGCGGCUUACUGGACGAUAACUGACGUUGAGGCUCGAAAGCGUGGGGAGCAAACAGGAUUAGAUACCCUGGUA